rnacentral:rRNA from 1 species
UACGUAGGGUGCAAGCGUUAUCCGGAAUUAUUGGGCGUAAAGAGCUCGUAGGCGGUUUGUCGCGUCUGCUGUGAAAACGCGAGGCUCAACCUCGCGCCUGCAGUGGGUACGGGCAGACUAGAGUGCGGUAGGGGAGAUUGGAAUUCCUGGUGUAGCGGUGGAAUGCACAGAUAUCAGGAGGAACACCGAUGGCGAAGGCAGAUCUCUGGGCCGUAACUGACGCUGAGGAGCGAAAGCAUGGGGAGCGAACAGG